rnacentral:misc_RNA from 1 species
UAUUAUUUAAACAGGACUUGAAAUGACUUCACCUUCUUUGUAAGAUUUCAAGAAAUGCAUUAACCCCACCUUCUUAGUUAUCCACUUUGGUUCCAAUUCCUCACUUUAUUUUAUCUUGACCUCAUGGUUGCCAGUCAACAUAUCAAAUUGGUCUAUGCCAACUUAAGUUCCCACUUUAUAUUGCAAAGAGAGAAAGAGCUCUCAAAAUCAUACCAUGUCAACUUACAUUCAUCACCCAGUGGGUCCCUUAACUCUAUAGUAACUGAGGUAGUAAUUUUGCUACACUAAAUGAAG